rnacentral:rRNA from 1 species
AUUCCAGCUCCAAUAGCGUAUAUUAAUGUUGUUGCAGUUAAAAAGCUCGUAGUUGGAUUCCUGGCACGGGGUAGCCGGUCCGCCUUGCAAAAGGUGCGCACUGAGCGGCCUCGGCCAUCCUCGCGAUGGUCUAUCCUGGCAUUCAGUUGUCGGGGUGGGGAUUCGCGACGUUUACUGUGAAAAAAUCAGAGUGUUCAACGCAGGCUUACGCCUUGAAUACAUUAGCAUGGAAUAAUGAGAUAGGACCUUGGCGGUCUAUUUUGUUGGUUUGCACGCCGAGGUAAUGAUUAAAAGGGACGGUUGGGGUUCUUCGUAUUCAAUUGUCAGAGGUGAAAUUCUUGGAUUUAUGGAAGACGAACUGCUGCGAAAGCGUCGAACAAGGACGUUCUCAUCA